rnacentral:rRNA from 1 species
UUUAACGGAGAGUUUGAUUCUGGCUCAGAACGAACGCUGGCGGCGUGGAUAAGACAUGCAAGUCGAGCGAGAUUUCCUUUGGUAGCAAUACCGAAGGAAGUCUAGCGGCGAACGGGUGCUUAACACGUGGGCAACCUGCCGAGAAGUGGGGGAUAGCUCGCCGAAAGGCGAAUUAAUACCGCAUGUGAUUAGAGUGGACAUCCAUUCAAAAUUAAAGUCGGGGCAACCUGACGCUUCUUGUGGGGCCCGCGGCCUAUCAGCUAGUUGGUGAGGUAACGGCUCACCAAGGCGAUGACGGGUAGCUGGUCUGAGAGGACGACCAGCCACACUGGGACUGAGACACGGCCCAGACACCUACGGGUGGCAGCAGUCGAGAAUUUUUCUCAAUGGGGGAAACCCUGAAGGAGCGACGCCGCGUGGAGGAUGAAGGUCUUCGGAUUGUAAACUUCUGUCAUUGGGGAACAAGUCGCUUACGUUAACUGCGUGAGCGUUGAUAGUACCCGAAGAGGAAGAGACGGCUAACUCUGUGCCAGCAGCCGCGGUAAUACAGAGGUCUCAAGCGUUGUUCGGAUUCAUUGGGCGUAAAGGGUGCGUAG